rnacentral:rRNA from 1 species
GCGAGGGACGGCGCCGCCCCGGGGCUCGUGAUAUCUUAUCUCGCCGCCCGUCGCGAGGCGGACGGAGGGAUGGAUGAGGUUACCUGGAAAAAAUCGGGGCGAUCUAGGCGGGCGAACCUCGCCAACGAACGAUCGGACAUGGGAUAACGGAAGAGGGCGUCGGCUCGACUUCGUCGGUUCCUCGGGCCGAGGCACGUACGGUGAAUAGGGACGGUCGGGGCCGCCCGUACCGGGUCGUGAGAGGUGAAAUUCUAGGAUCGACCGAGACGAACUGCCGCGAAAGCAUUCGGCAAGGACGCUUUCAUUAAUCAAGAACGAAAGUCGGGGGAUCGAAGACGAUCAGAUACCGUCGUAGUCCCGACCGUAAACGAUGCCGACCGAGGGCCCGGAGGAGUUACGUACGACCCCUCCGGGCCCUCCCGCGAGAAAUCAGGAGUAUUCGGGUUCCGGGGGG